UACGGAGGGUGCGAGCGUUGUUCGGAAUCACUGGGCGUAAAGGGCGUGUAGGCGGUCUGCUAAGUCUGAUGUGAAAGCCCGGGGCUCACCCCCGGAAGGGCAUUGGAAACUGGCGGACUCGAGUCCCGGAGAGGAGAGUGGAAUUCCUGGUGUAGCGGUGAAAUGCGUAGAUAUCGGGAGGAACACCUGUGGCGAAAGCGGCGCACUGGACCAUAACUGACGCUGAGGCGCGAAAGCUAGGGGAGCAAACAGG
rnacentral:rRNA from 1 species